rnacentral:rRNA from 1 species
CCCUUAGAUGUUCUGGGCCGCACGCGCGCUACACUGACGGAUUCAACGAGCUUACAACCUUGGCCGAAAGGUCUGGGUAAUCUCCAAAAUCCGUCGUGAUGGGGAUAGAUUAUUGCAAUUAUUAAUCUUCAACGAGGAAUGCCUAGUAAGCGCAAGUCAUCAGCUUGCGUUGAUUACGUCCCUGCCCUUUGUACACACCGCCCGUCGCUCCUACCGAUUGAAUGGUCCGGUGAAGCGUUUGGACUAUGGUUUUCUGAUGGUCCGCCGUUGGAUUACCGUGGGAAGUUCGUUAAACCUUAUCAUUUAGAGGAGGGAGAAGUCGUAACA